rnacentral:pre_miRNA from 1 species
CAGCGAGGUCGACCCUCGCCUUGGCUAGGCGAGGCCCGCCAGAUUUGGCGAGGCUCGGCCUCACCCAGCCAAGGCAAGGGUUGACCUCGCCA